rnacentral:rRNA from 1 species
GACGAACGCUGGCGGCGUGCCUAAUACAUGCAAGUCGAGCGGAAGUUGGAGAGCUUGCUCUUCAACUUUAGCGGCGGACGGGUGAGUAACACGUGGGCAACCUGCCCUGCAGAUCGGGAUAACUCCGGGAAACCGGUGCUAAUACCGAAUAGUUUUCGCCACCUCCUGGUGGCGUACGGAAAGACGGUUUCGGCUGUCACUGCAGGAUGGGCCCGCGGCGCAUUAGCUAGUUGGUGGGGUAACGGCCCACCAAGGCGACGAUGCGUAGCCGACCUGAGAGGGUGAUCGGCCACACUGGGACUGAGACACGGCCCAGACUCCUACGGGAGGCAGCAGUAGGGAAUCUUCCGCAGUGGACGAAAGUCUGACGGAGCAACGCCGCGUGAGUGACGAAGGUUUUCGGAUCGUAAAACUCUGUUGUGAGGGAAGAACAAGUACCAAUUAACUACUGGUACCUUGACGGUACCUCACCAGAAAGCCACGGCUAACUACGUGCCAGCAGCCGCCGCCGUAA